rnacentral:misc_RNA from 1 species
GAUGAAGAACGCAGCGAAAUGCGAUACGUAAUGUGAAUUGCAGAAUUCAGUGAAUCAUCGAAUCUUUGAACGCACAUUGCACUCUCUGGUAUUCCGGAGAGUAUGCUUGUUUGAGUAUCUGUAAACAUCUCAAAUCUCUCUUCAAUUGCUUCAAUUGGGUCGAGAGAAUUGGAUUUGAGCGAUCCCGACUCCUUCGUCAGAAAGAGGAGGGUCGCUUGAAAUGCAGGUGCAGCUGGACAUUCUUCUGAGCAAAAAGCAUAUCUAUUUAGUCCCGUCAAACGGAUUAUUACUUUUGCUUCAGCUAAUAUAAAGGUUGAAUGAACUACCAACGCUGAUUGCAGGAAAACAUGUUCGGUUAUUCGGACUUGUAAACUCGAUCUCAAAUCAAGUAAGACUACCCGCUGAACUUAAGCAUAUCAAUAAGCGGAGGA